rnacentral:pre_miRNA from 1 species
GGAUGUCCUGUGCUGACAGAAGAGAGUGGGCACACAUAUCCCCUAGCAUGGCUUAUGUGUGAGGCGAUGCGUGCCCACCGGCUCAUUCUGUCUGCAUGAAUCC